GCACGAGUGGCGGAAUUGGCAGACGCACUGGAUUUAGGUUCCAGCGCCGAGAGGCGUGAGGGUUCAAGUCCCUCCUCGUGCAC
rnacentral:tRNA from 1 species